UACUUGCUUUUACAAGGCGAAACCGCGAAUGGCUCAUUAAAUCAGUUAUGGUUCACUAGAUCGUCAAUUUUACACGGAUAACUGUGGUAAUUCUAGAGCUAAUACGUGCAAAUAGCUCGCUUCCUUGCGGAGCGAGCGCAGUUAUUAGAUCAAAACCAAUCCGGCCUUCGGGUCGGUACAAUUGGUGAUUCUGAAUAACCGAAGCAGAGCGCAUGGUCUCGUACCGGCGCCAGAUCUUUCAAGUGUCUGACUUAUCAGCUUGUUGUUAGGUUACGUUCCUAACAAGGCUUCAACGGGUAACGGGGUAUCAGGGUCCGAUACCGGAGAGGGAGCCUGAGAAACGGCUACCACAUCCAAGGAAGGCAGCAGGCGCGCAAAUUACCCACUCCUAGCACAGGGAGGUAGUGACGAAAAAUAACGAUGCGAGGGCUAUUAGCUUCUCGUAAUCGGAAUGGGUACACUUUAAAUCCUUUAACGAGGAUCUAUUGGAGGGCAAGUCUGGUGCCAGCAGCCGCGGUAAUUCCAGCUCCAAUAGCGUAUAUUAAAGUUGCUGCGGUUAAAAAGCUCGUAGUUGGAUCUGGGCUUCUGAAUGGAUGGUGCACUUUUCGGUGCAACUGUUCGUUUGGUGCCACAAGCCGGCCAUGUCUUGCAUGCUCUUCAUUGAGUGUGCAUGGCGACCGGAACGUUUACUUUGAAAAAAUUAGAGUGCUCAAAGCAGGCGUACGGCCUUGCAUAAUGGUGCAUGGAAUAAUGGAAUAGGACCUCGGUUCUAUUUUGUUGGUUUUCGGAACUCGAGGUAAUGAUUAAUAGGAACAGACGGGGGCAUUCGUAUUGCGGCGUUAGAGGUGAAAUUCUUGGAUCGUCGCAAGACGAAC
rnacentral:rRNA from 1 species